GGUCCCGUAGCUCAGCUGGAUAGAGCGGCUGCCUUCUAAGCAGUUGGUCGGGGGUUCGAGUCCUCCCGGGAUCGCCA
rnacentral:tRNA from 1 species